GUGAAUCAUCAAAUUUUUGAACGCAAAUUGCACUCACUGGUAAUCCGGUGAGUAUGCCUGUUUGAGGGUCAGUUUAAAUAAAAAUCGUUUUGGUUACUGCCUUUCGUGUUGACUCACCGGAUGUGGGUCGUCUUGCCUUCGGUUAAGUGACCUAAAAUUUUGCAUGAUUUUUUCGAACGUAUUUAAAUGACUUUACGUACGAUUGCGAUAGCUGAUUCUUGGUGUGGACAUCCUCAUGAUUCGC
rnacentral:misc_RNA from 1 species